UAAAUCAACUUCUUUCUCACUACUGGUUUC
rnacentral:piRNA from 1 species